CGUCUCGCGUGCUCCCCUCCCCUCCCCUCCCCUCUUCCUCUUUCUGCACUCUUUGCCUCUCUCUCGUACUUUCUCCUCUAACGAACUCUUCCGUCAAUAGCUUCAACCUCCGCGUGCAGCUGCUGAAGGUGCUCUCCUCAACAGCUUCACUGGUCUUGGCAUCCACCAACGGCGAGCCUCUUCAUUCCCUCAAUCUGGUUGGUGUAACUGCUAUUUUGGUUCACAUAAUUGUAUAGGCAACGACAAGUACUCCCUGCAGGCAUACUUAAACAAACAUUAGUUGCAUUCAUCCUUAAAAACAAUCAAACACGACUUCACUUUCCCCUCUAAUCUUAACUGUUCUUUAAAAAACGAGAUUAAAAAAAACAAAUACUUCGCAUUCCUCUGCAUGACAGCUGCAUACUAAAUAGCCACAUAUUGCCAAUUUGUUACCAUUUUCUCAAUUUAAUUACUAAUUCUGUGAUACAUUUACCUUCUACUAUGUGUGCUACACAGUAAGAGAUGACCUGUUCGGAGAAAAAAAUCCAGUAGAAUUGGUCGCAUUUUCCACAUCAACUUUGACAUUGCUGGUAAUCUACUAUUGACAUUCCUGAAUGCUUUCUAAUAAUUCCAAUUGCAUUCUUUAUUUUCCCCAACCCAUAUGGUUUCAAAUAGAAAUGUCAAAUACAUGGCAAGCUGUUGUCCAUUUACCUUUUGCCAGAAUCAUAGCUAAUUUAAAUUAAUAAAAAAAAUUAAUAAUAAAACCUGCACUUAUAUGUGCACCCUAUCUGUAUAUAUAAACUUAAACUGGAUUGGCAAUAACAAUAGGCAUGUUGUAUCCUAUUAAUAGAAUUCAAGUGAACAACUUGCUGAAAUUAUUGUGACAUAUAUACUGUUACUUACCUUCCUGCAGUUUUCAAACUGAAAACUCUAUGCCCAUUCAGACUUAAUAUUCCUUAUUCUUUCCCUUUGCUUACACUGAAUCGGCCUCCUAAAGUUACAUGUACUAACUUCCUGCUGUUUAGUUAAAUUUGCUUUUCUAAUUCCUUUUGUCUGAUACACAUUUCUACCUUUUACUUUUUCUCUCUUUCCUUUGAUUGUAUUUAUCUUUUUUUUAUUUUUCUAUAACUUUUGUACAAUAGCUCUACAAAGCAGAGGUGGAUCAUCUGGCACUGUUACAAGAACACCAUGUUUGUAGAUGGACCAUCUCCAAUCGCACUCCUCCAUGCUGCGGCUUCCGAAUGCCGUUUACCAUAUGCAUCUCUCAUCACUGAGAUUGCAGACAACUCGACAAUAUUAUGUGGCAUUGAAUUAUGGGCCAUAAUCUCUAAUUUCAGAUAGCUCCGCCAAGUUAAGUUCAGAGAAAUUCGCACAUCAUUUAACCUCACAUUGCAAGCAAAUGGUAAAACAAAGCAAUUUUUCCGCUAUAUAUUACAAUAUUUCAGUAACUCAUAUUCAAUCCGUACUAAUUAUUAAUAUUUUGUCUUUAAGGCUUCAUCUUCAAACGUCGCACUUGGACUAAUAGAUCUUGGUGAUGAAAUGGAAACAGCUUUAGCAAAACUUCAGCUAGCCAUUGUUGCAAAACCAAUCACAUCCCUUCCACCAGUACCAACUGUUUCCGAUGUUGAGGCCAUGUUUGCACGACAUUAUCCAGCAUCACCCAAACCAAUGGACAUAUCCUGCUUUCCACCAGAUUUUAUCUUGCAAUUUGAUGACAAAACAAGCUAUGACACAAUCCUUAGCUACCAAAUCCUCACUGAUAACAACUACACAUUUUCCUUAGCACCAUGGUCUGAUGAUGCAAGAUGCCAAACCCAAGCAUGGAGUGUUCCAGUAACAAUAGAUAUCCAUGGUAUACCUCCCCAUGCAUUUCACAUGAAAAGCCUUUCCGUCCUGCUUGAUCCUUACUGUGACAUCGAAACCUAUACCAUGGACAAAAAAAAAAACAGGUAUCUGUACCGUUGAAGGCGAUGCAUUAAAUGUUAAUUCCAUUCCAACGACAGGUUUUCUUUCAUAUCCACGUCGUUCUGGAUAUGAAACAGUGAUACAUACAUUUCCUGUUACUAUGAAAACUAGCUAUCUAUGCCUAACAAGAACGCCUCUGAUUGGCAAUAUCAUCCUUGUCGCGCCUUACAUCCGCACAAAGAAAAUUCAUCUCACAUUAAAGAUCAAGAAAAAGAAGUGGAUUCAGACAUGGUGAGGGAAUGCAAUAGAGUUGUGUUUGAAGCUGAAAUGGAAGAUGAAAGAAGGAUGAAAAACUUUCCUACCUUCCAUGGCUUCGCAUAUUCAGGAGAAAGUUCAGACGACGAUGACCCAAAUGAAGCCUACUAUUAUGCAGAUUCAGAUCGCGAGCCAAAGAACUGGUAAUUAAUAAACAGGCUCGCAGCAAGUCACAAAACUACCUAGUUCUGCAACAAUGAACAAGAUAACAUCUAAUAUUAUGACCGAAGCCCAGACGACUCAUCUUUUGAUACUUGUGUGCGUGCGUGCGUGUAAUCCCUGUAUCUAUGUAUGUGUCGAUGUACGUAUCAAAACUUUUACUGUUAAUAUAUUCGCAUGCUCAGGAACUUACCAAAUAAAAUUAUUAUUAUUCUUACUU